GACGAACGCUGGCGGCGUGCUUAACACAUGCAAGUCGAACGGAAAGGCCCUGCUUGCAGGGUACUCGAGUGGCGAACGGGUGAGUAACACGUGGGUGAUCUGCCCUGCACUUCGGGAUAAGCCUGGGAAACUGGGUCUAAUACCGGAUAGGAGCCAUUUUUAGUGUGAUGGUUGGAAAGUUUUUUCGGUGUAGGAUGAGCUCGCGGCCUAUCAGCUUGUUGGUGGGGUAAUGGCCUACCAAGGCGGCGACGGGUAGCCGGCCUGUGAGGGUGGACGGCCACAUUGGGACUGAGAUACGGCCCAGACUCCUACGGGAGGCAGCAGUGGGGAAUAUUGCACAAUGGGCGCAAGCCUGAUGCAGCGACGCCGCGUGGGGGAUGACGGCCUUCGGGUUGUAAACUCCUUUCGCUAGGGACGAAGCUUUUUGUGACGGUUCCUAGAUAAGAAGCACCGGCUAACUACGUG
rnacentral:rRNA from 1 species